AAUUAUUGCCAUACCUCCUUGUCAAAGCCUGGUCUUGUCAGAUCUCAGAAGCUAAGCAAGGCUUGGUCUGGUUAGUAAUUGGAUGGGAGACCGCAGGGAAAAUCAGGUGCCACAGUGG
rnacentral:rRNA from 1 species